rnacentral:siRNA from 1 species
ACGCGGAUAUCAAGUUUUGGGCGG